UACAGAGGAGCCAAGCGUUGUCCGGAUUGACUGGGCGUAAAGCGCACGCAGGCGGAUGCGCGCGUGGGGUGUGAAAUCUGGCCGCUUAACGGCCAGGCGCCAUCCCAUACGGCGCGUCUGGAGUGAUGCAGAGGUCGGUGGAAUUGCCGGUGUAGUGGUGAAAUUCGUAGAUAUCAGGAGGAACACCGGUGGCGAAGGCGGCUUUCUGGACGACAACUGACGCUGAGGCACGAAAGUGUGGGGAGCAAACAGG
rnacentral:rRNA from 1 species